rnacentral:sRNA from 1 species
UGGGCAUAGUGGCAUGUGCCUGUAAUCCCAAUUACUUGGAGACUAAGGAAGAUUUUGAGUUUGAGGUCAGACUUGGCAAUACAGUAAGACCCCAUCAUCUCAAAUAAAAAAAAAUCCUUUAU